AGCUGGUCCGAGUGCAGUGGUGUUUAUGACUAAUUGAUUACAACCAGUUACAGAUUCCUUUGUUCCUUCUCCACUCCUUUGUUCCUUUGUUGCUUCACUGGACCAGCCUUUA
ensembl:misc_RNA Y_RNA Y RNA